rnacentral:snRNA from 1 species
ACUCAUACCUGGCAGGGGAGAUACCAUGAUCACGAAAGUGGUUUUCCCAGGGUGAGGCUCAUCCAUUGCACUUCAGGUGUGCUGAUCCCUGUGAUUUCCCCAAAUGUGGGAAAAUCACUGUAUAAUUUGUGGUGGUGGGGGGACUGCGCUUGUGGUUUCCCCUG